GGUUAAGCGACUAAGCGUACACGGUGGAUGCCCUGGCAGUCAGAGGCGAUGAAGGACGUGCUAAUCUGCGAUAAGCGUCGGUAAGGUGAUAUGAACCGUUAUAACCGGCGAUUUCCGAAUGGGGAAACCCAGUGUGUUUCGACACACUAUCAUUAACUGAAUCCAUAGGUUAAUGAGGCGAACCGGGGGAACUGAAACAUCUAAGUACCCCGAGGAAAAGAAAUCAACCGAGAUUCCCCCAGUAGCGGCGAGCGAACGGGGAGCAGCCCAGAGCCUGAAUCAGUGUGUGUGUUAGUGGAAGCGUCUGGAAAGGCGCGCGAUACAGGGUGACAGCCCCGUACACAAAAAUGCACAUGCUGUGAGCUCGAUGAGUAGGGCGGGACACGUGGUAUCCUGUCUGAAUAUGGGGGGACCAUCCUCCAAGGCUAAAUACUCCUGACUGACCGAUAGUGAACCAGUACCGUGAGGGAAAGGCGAAAAGAACCCCGGCGAGGGGAGUGAAAAAGAACCUGAAACCGUGUACGUACAAGCAGUGGGAGCACGCUUAGGCGUGUGACUGCGUACCUUUUGUAUAAUGGGUCAGCGACUUAUAUUCUGUAGCAAGGUUAACCGAAUAGGGGAGCCGAAGGGAAACCGAGUCUUAACUGGGCGUUAAGUUGCAGGGUAUAGACCCGAAACCCGGUGAUCUAGCCAUGGGCAGGUUGAAGGUUGGGUAACACUAACUGGAGGACCGAACCGACUAAUGUUGAAAAAUUAGCGGAUGACUUGUGGCUGGGGGUGAAAGGCCAAUCAAACCGGGAGAUAGCUGGUUCUCCCCGAAAGCUAUUUAGGUAGCGCCUCGUGAAUUCAUCUCCGGGGGUAGAGCACUGUUUCGGCAAGGGGGUCAUCCCGACUUACCAACCCGAUGCAAACUGCGAAUACCGGAGAAUGUUAUCACGGGAGACACACGGCGGGUGCUAACGUCCGUCGUGAAGAGGGAAACAACCCAGACCGCCAGCUAAGGUCCCAAAGUCAUGGUUAAGUGGGAAACGAUGUGGGAAGGCCCAGACAGCCAGGAUGUUGGCUUAGAAGCAGCCAUCAUUUAAAGAAAGCGUAAUAGCUCACUGGUCGAGUCGGCCUGCGCGGAAGAUGUAACGGGGCUAAACCAUGCACCGAAGCUGCGGCAGCGACGCUUAUGCGUUGUUGGGUAGGGGAGCGUUCUGUAAGCCUGUGAAGGUGUGCUGUGAGGCAUGCUGGAGGUAUCAGAAGUGCGAAUGCUGACAUAAGUAACGAUAAAGCGGGUGAAAAGCCCGCUCGCCGGAAGACCAAGGGUUCCUGUCCAACGUUAAUCGGGGCAGGGUGAGUCGACCCCUAAGGCGAGGCCGAAAGGCGUAGUCGAUGGGAAACAGGUUAAUAUUCCUGUACUUGGUGUUACUGCGAAGGGGGGACGGAGAAGGCUAUGUUGGCCGGGCGACGGUUGUCCCGGUUUAAGCGUGUAGGCUGGUUUUCCAGGCAAAUCCGGAAAAUCAAGGCUGAGGCGUGAUGACGAGGCACUACGGUGCUGAAGCAACAAAUGCCCUGCUUCCAGGAAAAGCCUCUAAGCAUCAGGUAACAUCAAAUCGUACCCCAAACCGACACAGGUGGUCAGGUAGAGAAUACCAAGGCGCUUGAGAGAACUCGGGUGAAGGAACUAGGCAAAAUGGUGCCGUAACUUCGGGAGAAGGCACGCUGAUAUGUAGGUGAAGCGACUUGCUCGUGGAGCUGAAAUCAGUCGAAGAUACCAGCUGGCUGCAACUGUUUAUUAAAAACACAGCACUGUGCAAACACGAAAGUGGACGUAUACGGUGUGACGCCUGCCCGGUGCCGGAAGGUUAAUUGAUGGGGUUAGCGCAAGCGAAGCUCUUGAUCGAAGCCCCGGUAAACGGCGGCCGUAACUAUAACGGUCCUAAGGUAGCGAAAUUCCUUGUCGGGUAAGUUCCGACCUGCACGAAUGGCGUAAUGAUGGCCAGGCUGUCUCCACCCGAGACUCAGUGAAAUUGAACUCGCUGUGAAGAUGCAGUGUACCCGCGGCAAGACGGAAAGACCCCGUGAACCUUUACUAUAGCUUGACACUGAACAUUGAGCCUUGAUGUGUAGGAUAGGUGGGAGGCUUUGAAGUGUGGACGCCAGUCUGCAUGGAGCCGACCUUGAAAUACCACCCUUUAAUGUUUGAUGUUCUAACGUUGACCCGUAAUCCGGGUUGCGGACAGUGUCUGGUGGGUAGUUUGACUGGGGCGGUCUCCUCCUAAAGAGUAACGGAGGAGCACGAAGGUUGGCUAAUCCUGGUCGGACAUCAGGAGGUUAGUGCAAUGGCAUAAGCCAGCUUGACUGCGAGCGUGACGGCGCGAGCAGGUGCGAAAGCAGGUCAUAGUGAUCCGGUGGUUCUGAAUGGAAGGGCCAUCGCUCAACGGAUAAAAGGUACUCCGGGGAUAACAGGCUGAUACCGCCCAAGAGUUCAUAUCGACGGCGGUGUUUGGCACCUCGAUGUCGGCUCAUCACAUCCUGGGGCUGAAGUAGGUCCCAAGGGUAUGGCUGUUCGCCAUUUAAAGUGGUACGCGAGCUGGGUUUAGAACGUCGUGAGACAGUUCGGUCCCUAUCUGCCGUGGGCGCUGGAGAACUGAGGGGGGCUGCUCCUAGUACGAGAGGACCGGAGUGGACGCAUCACUGGUGUUCGGGUUGUCAUGCCAAUGGCACUGCCCGGUAGCUAAAUGCGGAAGAGAUAAGUGCUGAAAGCAUCUAAGCACGAAACUUGCCCCGAGAUGAGUUCUCCCUGACUCCUUGAGAGUCCUGAAGGAACGUUGAAGACGACGACGUUGAUAGGCCGGGUGUGUAAGCGCAGCGAUGCGUUGAGCUAACCGGUACUAAUGAACCGUGAGGCUUAACCUU
rnacentral:rRNA from 1 species